UCUUAAAGCCCAGAGAAGACUGAAGGUGAGUCAGACUCUUAAAGCCCAGAGAAGACUGAGGACGCCCUGCUCAAGGUGAGUCAGUCUCUUAAAGCCCAGAG